GUGCAAUGUUACAAGUCAUAUUUAAAUAAUUUAUGUCGCAGAGUACCAUAGUUCGUUAGUGGGUUUUUUAACAUCUGCUGAAGAAAAAAACGAUUGGGCUAUUACUGUUGGCCUUUCAAGUUUCAUCAGAAUAUGUAUGGGCGAGCAAAGGCUCAGUCAGGAGGAGUUGGAGGGUUGGAUUUGCAAACAUCUGCCCGUGCGCUUCCAAAGGAGACCUAACAACUCAAGAGUAGCUGCUUCACGAAUGAAUCUACUAUCGAAUCGGGAUCGCGUCCCGCCGAGAAGAUCCGGCAAGAAACUCAGCGGGCUGAUGUUGAUUAGUUGGUCGAAGAAUCAGUUACAAGAACAUGUGAUUGAUUCACGAAAGAAAUCGGCAGAACGACAGUAUUAGUACAAGUAAACUUAACCAGUGCUCAAAAUGGGAAUUAGGCAGAAGCGUAGAGAAACUUCGGU